rnacentral:lncRNA from 1 species
CUCAUUACAAGCCUAAAAGUGAAAAGCAAUGUUAUCGUUUUAUUCAAAGGAUUGAAAGAGUCUUGUUUUAAGUUGUGUGUGAUUGAAUAAUUAUAGCUGUGAUAUUUAUUUCAAAAGUUGGCAUAAAAUAGAAAAAGGAAAAAAAUAGAAAAAGAAAAGAAGGAUAACAAUACAUAUUCCUUCUGAAGAAAAAAAGAAUAAAAAGAGAAAAGAGAAGAGAAAUCGUUGAAAGGUUGUUGUUUGA